GCAAGUAUAGCUCAAGUGGUAGAGCGCAUGCUUAGCAUGCAUGAGGUCCUGGGUUCAAUCCCCAGUACUGCCU
rnacentral:tRNA from 1 species